UCCAGUUUAUCACCGGCAGUCUCUGCAGAGUGCUCGGAAACCUUACGGCUUCCGGUGGCAACAGCAGACGUGGGUUGCGCUCGUUGCGGGACUUAACCCAACACUUCACAGCACGAGCUGACGACAGCCAUGCACCACCUGUGCUAGCUCUCGACUUGACGAGUCCAUCCCCUUUCAGUUCAGUACUUCUAGCAUGUCAAAUCCGGGUGAGGUUCUACGCGUAGCGUCGAAUUGAACCACAUGUUCCACCGCUUGUGCGGGCCCCCGUCAAUUCCUUUGAGUUUCAUUCUUGCGAACGUACUCCCCAGGUGGAGGACUUAAUGGGUUACCUGCGGCGCCGACUCUCAUUGAGCCAACACCUAGUCCUCAACGUUUACAGCGUGGACUAC
rnacentral:misc_RNA from 1 species